GACGAACGCUGGCGGCGUGCUUAACACAUGCAAGUCGAACGAAGUGGCGAACGGGUGAGUAACGCGUAAUCAACCUGCCCUUCAGAGGGGGACAACAGUUGGAAACGACUGCUAAUACCGCAUACUGAAGGAGGGGAUUGAGUCUGAUUAGCUAGUUGGAGGGGUAACGGCCCACCAAGGCGAUGCUGAGUAACCUGGCGGAGAGGAGGAACGGCAACAUUUGGACUGAGACCCGGCCCAGACGCCUACGGGAGGCAGCAGUGGGGAAUCUUCCGCAAUGGACGAAAGUCUGACGGAGCAACGCCGCGUGAUUGAUGACGGCCUUCGGGUUUUAAAGCUCUGUUAAUCGGGACGCGGUACCGGAAUAGAAAGCCACGGCUAACUACGUGCCAGCAGCCGCGGUAAUUC
rnacentral:rRNA from 1 species